rnacentral:sRNA from 1 species
UCAGAAUUAACCACAAAGCUGCCGUGC